rnacentral:lncRNA from 1 species
CCGGCCUUUGGAACUACUCCUUCCACUCCGGCUUUUGGGGCUCCUUCUUCCACACCGGCAUUUGGCACUCCGUCUUCGACACCGGCGUUUGUCACUCCUUCUUCGACACCGGCCUUUGGCACUCCGUCUUCGACACCUGCGUUUGGGGCUCCGUCUUCGACACCGGCGUUUGGAACUCCGUCCUCGACACCGGCUUUUGGAACUCCAUCAACGCCGUCUUUCGCUACGGGCUUUGGCGGCUCCUCUCUUUUCUCCACCCCAUUCUCUUCUCAAACGCAACAGCAGCAACAGACUUCAUUGUUUCAGCAACCAC